ensembl:snRNA U6 U6 spliceosomal RNA
GUGCUCACUUUAGCACCACAUGUUAGUAAAAUUGGAGUGACACAGAGAAGAUUAGCACGGCCCCUGCACAGGGAUGACACACAAAUUCGUGAAGCUUCCAUGUUUUAA